GACGAACGCUGGCGGCGUGCCUAAUACAUGCAAGUCGAACGCUUUUUCUUUCACCGGAGCUUGCUCCAUCGAAAGAAAAAGAGUGGCGAACGGGUGAGUAACACGUGGGUAACCUGCCCAUCAGAAGGGGAUAACACUUGGAAACAGGUGCUAAUACCGUAUAACACUAUUUUCCGCAUGGAAGAAAGUUGAAAGGCGCUUUUGCGUCACUGACGGAUGGACCCGCGGGGCAUUAGCUAGUUGGUGAGGUAACGGCUCACCAAGGCAACGAUGCAUAGCCGACCUGAGAGGGUGAUCGGCCACACUGGGACUGAGACACGGCCCAGACUCCUACGGGAGGAAGCAGUAGGGAAUCUUCGGCAAUGGACGAAAGUCUGACCGAGCAACGCCGCGUGAGUGAAGAAGGUUUUCGGAUCGUAAAACUCUGUUGUUAGAGAAGAACAAGGAUGAGAGUAAAAUGUUCAUCCCUUGACGGUAUCUAACCAGAAAGCCACGGCUAACUACGUGCCAGCAGCCGCCGCCG
rnacentral:rRNA from 1 species